rnacentral:rRNA from 1 species
AUCAAUAAGCGGAGGAAAAGAAACCAACAGGGAUUGCUCUAGUAACGGCGAGUGAAGCAGCAAUAGCUCAAAUUUGAAAUCUGGCGUCUUCGACGUCCGAGUUGUAAUUUGUAGAGGAUGCUUCUGAGUAACCACCGACCUAAGUUCCUUGGAACAGGACGUCAUAGAGGGUGAGAAUCCCGUAUGGGAUGGGGUGUCCGCGCCCGUGUGAAGCUCCUUCGACGAGUCGAGUUGUUUGGGAAUGCAGCUCUAAUUGGGUGGUAAAUUCCAUCUAAAGCUAAAUAUUGGCGAGAGACCGAUAGCGAACAAGUACAGUGAUGGAAAGAUGAAAAGAACUUUGAAAAGAGAGUGAAAAAGUACGUGAAAUUGUUGAAAGGGAAGGGCUUGAGAUCAGACUUGGUGUUUUGUGAUUAUCUUUCCUUCUUGGAUUGUGCACUCGCAUUAUACUGGGCCAGCAUCGGUUUGGGUGGUAGGAUAAUGACAUUGGAAUGUGGCUCUACUUCGGUGGAGUGUUAUAGACUUUGUUGAUACUGCCUACCUAGACCGAGGACUGCGUCUUUUGACUAGGAUGCUGGCGUAAUGAUCUUAAGCCGCCCGUCUUGUAACACGGACCAAGGAGUCUAACGUCUAUGCGAGUGUUUGGGUGUAAAACCCGUACGCGUAAUGAAAGUGAACGUAGGUGAGGGCUCUUUUUUGAGUGCAUCAUCGACCGAUCCUGAAGUCUUCGGAUGGAUUUGAGUAAGAGCAUAGCUGUUGGGACCCGAAAGAUGGUGAACUAUGCCUGAAU